rnacentral:rRNA from 1 species
UACGUAGGGUGCAAGCGUUGUCCGGAAUUAUUGGGCGUAAAGGGCUCGUAGGCGGUCCAUCGCGUCGGGAGUGAAAAGCUGGGGCUUAACCCCAGUCCUGCUUCCGAUACGGGUGGACUAGAGGUAGGCAGGGGAGAACGGAAUUCCUGGUGUAGCGGUGAAAUGCGUAGAUAUCGGAAGGAACACCUGUGGCGAAAGCGGCUCACUGGACCAUAACUGACGCUGAGGCGCGAAAGCUAGGGGAGCAAACAGG